rnacentral:rRNA from 1 species
UACAGAGGUCUCAAGCGUUGUUCGGAUUCAUUGGGCGUAAAGGGUGCGUAGGCGGCGCGGAAAGUUGGGUGUGAAAGCCCUCGGCUCAACCGAGGAAUUGCGCCCAAAACUUCCGUGCUUGAGGAAGAUAGAGGUGAGCGGAACUCAGGGUGGAGCGGUGAAAUGCGUUGAUAUCCUGAGGAACACCGGUGGCGAAAGCGGCUCACUGGAUCUUUUCUGACGCUGAGGCACGAAAGCUAGGGUAGCGAACGGG